UCUCUUUCAACACUACGACUGUUAGUUUAGGGUUCAUUCCCUUUCAUCUUCUUCAUCUUCUAAAUCUAUCAAUUUUUGAUCGACGAUGAAUAAUUCCGACGAGAAACGGCUUCUUGUGAAACGUAGCAAUGUAAAUCGUGAUAUGUGUUACUUAACUCCUCUUUCUCCGCGAGAUUUAUCCGAAAUCUCUGAAGAAAAUUUCGACCUCCCUUUUUUGGAUCCAAACCAACCCACUCGUUCCAACAGUUGCGAGGGUUUGUUGUUAUUCAUCGAUCGCACUGACCAUAGUUAUCUUUGCAACCCCACAACCAAACAGGUUCAGAUCUUUCCUCCCAAGGAAGCCUCUCCAAUUCCAAAUUACCUGACCUAUUUGGCUGGUGCUUGUGUUGGCUAUGAUUCCAAAUCUGAUGAUUACAAAAUACUAAGAAUUUGGGAUGGUAAUUACUGCGCGUCGAGGCCUUGUUACCCGAUCCGAACAUUUGAGUUGUAUUCGUUGAGAAACGAUUCUUGGAAGGAGAUUGCAAUUCUGCUAUUGGUAAUAUUACUUAUGUUAGAGGUAAGUGUUACUGGAUUUCUUUGCCUGCCUCGAGAGUUAUAUCGUUCGAUUAUAGUGAGGAAAGCUUCUCUUACUUGCCUUUACCACGAGAGGCGUAUAUCUUAGUACGUUUUAGCCUUGUCAAGUUUUAUGAUGAAGAUUUGUUAGGUAUUGUUUUCUGUGGGCGACGAGGAAGCUGGUUAUUAUUUUGGGGAGUGAAGCUGGUUAUUAUUUUGAGGCUUGGGUAUGGAGAGAAGGGUGUUGGGAUACAAUGUUUAAUGUCUCUCUUGGUGGUGCUGUAGAUGGAGUAGAGGGGACGAAAUACGGCCGAUUCUUGUUUCUUCAUGGAAGGGAUGGCCAAAAUUGUCGUCUAGUAGUUUAUGAUUGGAGUAAGAAAGAGUGCAAGGAACUUGGUAUUUAUAAUUAUCACAAUCCAAUAGAGAUUUUUUGUUAUGUUGAGAGCAAUGUUUAUAUGCGCCGUGGAAAGCCAAUCAAUGGAUCCCCUGUUUUUACUUAUCCUUAUUUAGGCAAGGAUGAACACGACGAGGAGGAUGAGUGCCAAGGCAUAUACACUUCUCCUUAUGACUAUGAGAAAGAGUAUCACUCUUUCGAUGAAGCCUGCGAUGCAGAUCUCGAUGAUUUUGCUGCUAAUGGAUUCCGUGUCCUUAAUGAUAUAGAGUUGGAGGAGGAGCAGGAGAGGAGAUACCUUGCCGUUAUUGGUAUGGAUCAGGAGAGGAGAUUAUUUCCGUUAUGGAGGUAUUAUUGUUCAAAUUUGUUUUCUGGUUCAAUCUUCUUAGCUCCCACGCACCUCGUUGAUGAUAGAGUAACUGUUUUAUGUCAAGAUAUAUCCUAGGAAAUUUGGUUUGAAGAUAUUAAAAAUAUGUGCUUCUUUUCUUACAGGUUGUGACAGAUGGGAACAUGCCCUAUGCAAAUACAAAGUUUUUCUUAAUCAAGUCAGAUAGUGAGGAUGAUGUGCAUAAGAGUAUUAAGUAUAACGCGUGGUCAUGCACUCCCUAUGGAAACAAGAAGAUUAAUGCUGCAUACAAAGAUGUCCAUAGAAUUGGCUGCCCCAUCUUCCUCUUCUUUUCUAAAUGAGUGGCCAAGUGGAUUUCCAAAGAGAUAUGGAUUUAGAUAAAAGGAGUGGAAGCUUUCCUUUAAAGUGGCACAUCAUAAAGGAUUUGUCACACUUAAAUCUUUUUAGGGACAACAUAUUGCAGAACAAUGAGAACAUGCCAGUGAUUGACAACAGAGACAUACAAAGGAUAAGCUUCAAUAAAGGUCUGGAUUUAUUUAGCUUAUUCAAGGGCCAUACAUCAAAGACAUCCCUACUCUCCCCGGCCCAUGAAUAGGUAGAGGGCAACAAUGCAUGAGAGGAGGUUUAUGACAUGUGAAGGGAAAUAAUUUCUUGAUUUGCCACAUUUUUUGGUUUCUCUCUUUCCGCUACAUAUUAAUACUCCAAGAGCGUCGCUGCAUAGUUAGUCUUGCGCUCAACACGUCAGCCAGCGUCGUUGCGGCUUUUCAUGGGUGGCGCUUCCGUCGGUUUCCGCCCGACUGGGCUGAACUCUUAUGUAUUCUACGCCCUACUCAUAAUAUUGUUGGUUGUGGGCAAGUUUUGUGCCGAUGCCGCCCUGUCGCCGUAGUUUUUAUUUUUUUAAAACUGCAGAGCAAGCGGCCUCUCUGUAUAGGUUAUGACUAUGUUUAUUUUUAAUUCAAACCUUUUCAAUUCCAAUUUUGAAUGUGUAGUGUACGUGCAUGUUAAAUUA